UGGGGAAUAUUGCACAAUGGAGGGAACUCUGAUGCAGCGACGCCGCGUGAACGAAGAAGGCUUUCGAGUCGUAAAGUUCUUUUAUAUGGGAAGAUAAUGACGGUACCAUAAGAAAAAGCCCCGGCUAACUACGUGCCAGCAGCCGCGGUAAUACGUAGGGGGCUAGCGUUGUCCGGAAUCACUGGGCGUAAAGGGUUCGCAGGCGGAAAUGCAAGUCAGGUGUAAAAGGCAGUAGCUUAACUACUGUAAGCAUUUGAAACUGCAUAUCUUGUGAAGGGUAGAGGUAAGUGGAAUUUUUAGUGUAGCGGUGAAAUGCGUAGAUAUUAAAAAGAAUACCGGUGGCGAAGGCGACUUACUGGGCUCAUUCUGACGCUGAGGAACGAAAGCGUGGGUAGCAAACAGG
rnacentral:rRNA from 1 species